GAAAAAAAACAACUCGCAUGAGUCGACAUUUUGGUCCGUUUGAGGAAACUCCCUUCCUGCCUGCUUCCUGACAGGUGGAGCUGGGACUCAUUCCAGGAAACAGCUCACCUGUGUCAGAGAUUUCUCUCCAGGUGGAGAGUAACCCUCUUCUUCAUCAACUCUUCUUCAUCAACUCUUGUUCAUCAACUCUUGUUCAUCAACUCUUUGGACUGUUUGAAGAAACUAAAACAAACGGUCGUCUCCAUCAGAGUAAAGUGAGACACAACACAACUCUACUGUUUCUGAUAAAAGGUUCAAGGUUCAAGGACCCAUCAGAGACCAGACCCUGCUGAACCUGAACCUGAACCUGA